CCUUUUUCUCCUUCUGUCUCUCGAAGGGGAAACUUGGUGGCCAGUCCUUUGCCACGUUGAGCCUCUAGCCGGUUCACCUUGCUCGCUAUUAGAGCGCCUUUUUCUCUCUCUCUUUUUCUCUCCGCUCUGGGAAGCUUCGGAAGACAAAUCCAAAAAAAAGACGCAGAGGUAGCAUUUGAACACAAUCUGUGAGGUUUUUGGCUCAACGGUGCGGCAGUGUUGAACGAAAGGACGUCAGGAGAUGAAAUGGCGGUAGCUAGCCAAGAAGGAGACGAAACAAGUGCCAAGCAAAAAAGAAGAGACUUCAUUCAAGACAGUAAGAUGUGAAGAAGAGAAAGGAUGAUCAUCCAGUCACAGCGUCUUUGCACUGAAUGUGUGAGCAUGGGUAAAAGCUUCUCCACAGCAUCCUCCAGCCGCCCAGCCCGCCUGCCCAGUGUUCAGACUACCUGUUCAGGAAGUAGUGGUUGUACAGUAGUCUGCACAUUGGUUAGGCUGGCCGGGGAAGCACGGGACGACUCAAAGACACUAAAAGAGAGAGAGAGAGCGAGAGAGAGAGAGAGAGAGACAACGUUCGAAAGGAGCAUCCAGCAGACACGAGCACAUCAGGCUGUGGGAACACGCAGCACCACCCCUCGUCCAUCUGGACGAGGCCAGCGCAAGCCUAAAUAAAGCAUCCAAAGGCCCCACCACAGAGGCCUGGCCCUCGUCUGGCAUGGAUUUAUGAAAGACGGAUACAUAAGUCCUAAAGUUUUUUUUAAACUAGUUGCUAUAAAGAGAAAUGAGAUUAUACUUUAUUUUGCUUUGUAUCGUUUUUUUGUAUUGCUUGAUUUGUCAUUGACCUAAAAGUGAAAUCUGAUGAAGAUGAAAAGAUAAAAAAAAUAAAGAUGUUUGGAUAUCUA